UUGCUUCAGCAGCGAAUAUAUUAAAAUGAGAACAAUACAGAGAGGAUUAGCAUGGCCCUUGUAUAAGAAUGACAUGCAAAUUCAUGAUGUGCUCAAUAUUUUU